UUAAACUUCACUCAUCUAAUCCACAAUCUCGUGAAGCCUCACUCUUCUUCUUGUGCUUCUUUUCUGGCGAACCAACGCAAUUACCUCACUCUCCUCCAUCUUUGUUGUCUGCUAUGCACGGGAAUCCAUCCCACCCAUUCUUUCUCCGACAUGAACAACCCUAAGGUUACCAGAGCAAUUUUUAGAUGUUGUAUUACUAGCAACACUGAUGUGUACUAAAUCAGAGCAUAGAUUCCAAAUCAAAGUUUUUAGUUUAGUUUGAAUCUGAACCUGCAUUGGAGCCACCACUUGCAACCUAGAUUUGAUGACGAUUUCCCAUUGCAAGAUCUUGGUGUAUUUCACCAUCAGAGUAACUCAAACCGAGAAAUAGAAGCGAGAGUAAUGACGAGGGGUGGUUGACGGGGAUGUUAUAGCCGGCCAGUGGGAGCGACGGCGGUGCAGGUAGGUGUGUACGUGUAUGUGUGUGUGUGUGUGUUUUUUAAUCAUCUACAAUUCUUUUAGCUCGUUCAAGCUCUUUCUAGGCUAAAUGGAGCUUUGUCUACUUCAACUACAACCUCAGUGUCCAUAAACAUUAAAGCUACAGGAUUUGGUGGGUCUAAACUCUAGUACCCAAGUUCAACUUGCUCUUGGAGUGUAGAUUCGAAAUCGGAGUUUGUUUAGUUCGAAUAUGCACUGAUCGUCGAAUUAAGUAGCUUUUUCUAGGAGGGUGUUCAAUCCAUCAUCAUAAACUCAUAGUGGGGGAAACAAUGAAAUCAAUUAGGUUUUAGUCUAUUGAUUAUUGGUGUGGGUUCUCUUGGAUAUGAGUAUCUCAGGAAGGAAUGAGGUUUGCGAGUUUAAGGGAGGAAGACCAAAAAGAAAAAGAAAAAGAAAAUGGAGAGAGAGAGACUUUUACUUUUUUAAUUAGUUAAAUAAAUAAAUAAGUAUUUAAAUUUUAAAAAAAUGAAAGAAAUAAAAAAUAAAUAAUCCAAAGGUUUACAGUUUUUUUAUUAUUCAAAGGGACCAAAAAACACAAUGAAACUAGCUCAAAAUGACUACGAAACCAAAAAAGUCAAAGUUUGAAUUAAAACCUCAAAAAAAUACAUACUACAUCGACCAUUUUUGCAAAUUUGAAGUUAUGAAAAUUUGUCUAGUAAAUAUGUGUGUAUUUUUAUGGUGGUUGGGUUGUUUAAAGUUGUCGGCUUUUAAAACAUCUAAAAUUGUAAUUGUAUUUCUUUAUUUCAUCCUUGUUUUAGCGAUUUGCUAAUAGUGAUGAUUGUUUUAUUUAUAAUAUUUUACGGUUUUAAAAAAGAAAAAAAAUUCAAUUUUUACACGUAAAAAGUAUAAAAAUUUGUAGAAAUAUCAGAAAACAGUAAACAUGUUUAUGUUGUGUAUCAAAGAUUUCAAGUUUCAAUUUCAAAAAAUAUUGGUAUUAAGGCUCUAAAUAACAUAUGAACAAUGUCAAGCCUUAGGAUUUUUAUUAACCUUGACUAGCCACAUUGUUUGUAAGACGUAAUUUAAUAGUCAAUUUUAUAUAUAAUUAAUAUUUAUAUAGAUUUUCUACUAUUAUUUAUUUUUAAAAGAAUAUAAGACUUAAGGAGGUGACAUUUUAUUAAAAUUUAAGAGUAAAUACAGAUCUUGAAGUAAUAACCACAACUUUUUAAAACUUUAGAUAUUAAACUAUUAGGCAUCAUUUCCUUUUAAAAUUUCUUUUUCUUGUUGCAAAAAUAAACAAAUGUUUAUAUGGAGGGGGUGAAGGGGAAUUCGGAGAGAAUAUAUGUAGUCUAAAUGAGAUAUCACACCUUGAAGGGACCUGUGGAUGGGGUGUAGGUAGGGGACUGACGUUGUCCUUAAACAAAGUCACUAGUGAUAUUAUCUGAUCCGCAUUAAUUGUUUUACAUUUUGCAGUACCUUACGAAGUAUUAGUAGUACCCCAGGCCAUGAGUAUGUGUUACACGACUCUUAAAACACACACAUGGUCAAAAGGUGUGGAUAGCAAAUUGGCAUCAUGGAACUUGUACGGGGUCAGCUGUCGGUUUUCAUAAUUAAGGGUCCUGCUAUUGCUAUCCCCGAUUUUUUAGGUGUUAUAAAAUUUAGAGAAAAUUUCAAAAUUUGUCUGUGGUUUGUUUUUAUCCAUGAGUUAUUAAAAUUAGACAAAAAUUUAUAAAUGCUCUUUAUGGUUUUAUGGUUUUGUGUUUUCGUUGCUAUUUUUUUGUCAUAUAUGGAUGAUCCAGGUAAUUUUAAUUUUCCUAUGAAU
rnacentral:lncRNA from 1 species